rnacentral:rRNA from 1 species
UAGAGUUUGAUCAUGGCUCAGGAUGAACGCUAGCGGCAGGCCUAAUACAUGCAAGUCGAACGGUGGUAGCAAUACCAUAGUGGCGCACGGGUGCGUAACACGUAACUAACCUACCUAUAACUGGGGGAUAGCCCGCCGAAAGGCGGAUUAAUACCGCAUAAGCUGCUGAAGUGGCAUCACUUUAAUAGUAAAGAUUUAUUGGUUAUAGAUGGGGUUGCGGGUCAUUAGCUAGUUGGUAAGGUAACGGCUUACCAAGGCGACGAUGACUAGGGGAGCUGAGAGGCUGGUCCCCCACACGGGCACUGAGAUACGGGCCCGACUCCUACGGGAGGCAGCAGUAGGGAAUAUUGGGCAAUGGGCGAGAGCCUGACCCAGCCAUGCCGCGUGCAGGAAGAAGGCUUUCUGAGUCGUAAACUGCUUUUGACAGGGAAGAAUAAGCAUGACGUGUCAUGUGAUGACGGUACCUGCAGAAUAAGCACCGGCUAACUCCGUGCCAGCAGCCGCGGUAAUACGGAGGGUGCGAGCGUUGUCCGGAUUUAUUGGGUUUAAAGGGUGCGUAGGCGGCCGUUUAAGUCUGGGGUGAAAGCCCGCUGCUCAACAGCGGAACUGCCCUGGAUACUGGAUGGCUUGAGUACAGACGAGGUUGGCGGAAUGGACUGAGUAGCGGUGAAAUGCAUAGAUACAGUCCAGAACCCCGAUUGCGAAGGCAGCUGACUAGGCUGUUACUGACGCUGAGGCACGAAAGCGUGGGGAGCGAACAGGAUUAGAUACCCUGGUAGUCCACGCCGUAAACGAUGGAUACUCGCUGCGAGCUAAAGAUUGUUCGUGGCUUAGGGAAACCGAUAAGUAUCUC